rnacentral:lncRNA from 1 species
ACCAACCCAUUAUAAAAAAUUCAAAACUAUAAAAAGAGAAGAAUAGGUGAAGAAGCAAAAGCAUAUGACGUUCAAACUCUCCAAAUAAAUAAAACACAAAAGUGCGGCGAAUAGUUCUAAGAGUAUUCUGAAGAAGAGAAAAGAGGUUAAGAAAACUGGAACAAGAAAAUCAAAAUGUUUAAGCUUUGGCAGAGGCACGGCCGUAGAACUUGUUCUUUUCCUGGGUAGUCUGGAAUUUGCCAUGUCCCAUCUUUGAGGAAGUGUCGAUAAACUUGAGGUUGAUCUGCUCCAUGGCAAGACGGGAAGUCUGAGUGAGUAGUGACUGUCUAAGAGUCACAACCCUCUUCUUUGGACCCAUGCAGCAUCCCUUGAUCAUCAAGUAGUCAUCCUUCACCACACCAUAGUGUGCGAAUCCUCCCAUCGGAGUCACAUCCUUCUCGGUCCUAUCAUAGCCACAACAAUCAUCAGAUCAGUUACAUAAAACCAAAAUAGCAGAGAGUAAGUGAAACAGUAGAUAGAGAAAUUUCAACUGACCUGUCGUAUUCAGUCAUGGCAGUGUGCGUCUCCUGACCAACCUUGCCCAACCUGUAAAUCUUCUUGUUAAGUUCCGUACGGUGAUGGUAACCGUUCUGACCAGCUCUAGCCACAGUGUAGGAGACUCUAGCUGGAUGCCAUGCACCGAUACAAGCAACCUUACGCAGACCCCUGUGAGUCUUACGUGGAAGCCUAGUCACACCCCAACGAGUAACAACACCUUCGUAACCUUUACCCUUGGUCACUCCAAUCACAUCAAUCAUCUCAUCCUUCUGGAAAACAGCGUCAAUGGGAAUCUGCUUCUCAAAGAAGCUGUAGGCAAAGUCGACCUUCUGAGCAAUGGUACCACCGUUGAUCUGGAUCUCCAUCAUGUGAGCCUUCUUCUGCUUCAACCCCUUCAUCUUCCUGAUCUGAGUGUGGGCCAAGACACGGAUGACAGUUCCGUACUUCUUCAUCUUCUCGAGCUGAGACUGGAUGCUCUUCUUGCCUUCCUCGGUUUCGUACUGCUUGGCGUAGCCGGUGAAGGCCUUCUUCUUGGACUUGGCCCAGUUCUUGUAGAACCUUCUCCUGACCUCCUCGCUCAAGUGCUGUGCCCAGACGGUGUUGAGAGACCUCAGACCACGGGGGGUUUUGACGUAGGCAACAACACCGACGACCACCAUGGCGGGUGUCUCGAUGAUGGUAACAGCCUCGCAGGUCUCCUUCUUGUGAAGCUCUAUACAAGAUUACACAAGCAAACAAAAUAGUAUAAAUAAUGAAAUUUGAUUAAUAAUUUUUUUUUAAAAAAGAAUGAAUUAAAUGAGAGUGAAACUUACUGGAUCCGGGCUUCUCGACAUCUCUAACAAUGUGGGUUAUACCGGCCUUGUAUCCCAUGAAGGCUGUGAACUUGCAAGGCUUGCUUUGGUCAUCCUUAGGGAACGCCUUCACUGUUUUUUUUAAGUACAACAACAUUAAUUUGUAAAAGAAAAGACAACAAACUCCAAAGUAACUUACAUCCCAAUCAUAGUACUAAAAGUCGGAUUAAUUUUUUUAAUUUUCCAGAUAAUCACAAGUAGGGUUUCAAUGAAACGCAAAAAAUAAAUUUAAAUAUUUGAGGCGACUUUUUCAACGGUACGGUAAAUAUUUUAAAUAUUUUUUUCAUUCAACGCUUGCAAAUUAUAUUGUUGUCACAUUUUUAUGUUAUCUGUCACCACAGACGUAAUCGUUAAACACUAGAAUCAUGGACGUUUAUAACUUUUUUUCCCGGAAUGCGCACGUUUGAUUUGAGAAUUGGGAAUGUCGAGUGGCUUAUCCAGGUACGUACAAACACAGCCACCAUACAAACAUGCGAGAGGACCCGGACACGGUAGCUUCACGUUUUCGCACUUUGUCAGUUUUGUUCAUAUAGAUUAUCAAAAAUUAAAAAGGUAUGAUUUGCUUUCUGUUGUUGUCGUACCUUCAUAUAGAUUAUCAAAAAUAAAUAAAAAGGUAGUGAUUAUUUCUGAUAUAAAAUAAAACUAAAACUUCAACCAGAACUUGAAUUGUUUUCUUGGUUAAUGAAAAAACUGGACCCUCCUAGUUAACAUAAUUCAUUUGACAGAAAGAAACAUAUUGUAAUCUAAGGUUCAUAUUAUUUCAUACUAAAUGAAGAUAGCAUUUAUUUAAAAUGAUACAAAAUUGUACUCGUUAAUAUAUAUAAAACCCCAAUUGAAUACAUGAAAAUCACAUACAUGUUGUAGUCAUCAGAGAUAGUCAGAUAGAUGUAUAUAUAUUAUAUUUUAAUACAUUUUGAAAAUCAUAUAUUUGUAUACAAGCGAAGUACUUACAGAAGGCAUAUAGAAGGAACAUGAACAAGAAGAAGACUGGUUUUGCUGAAUUCAUCUCUAUACUUAAAUUACGAUAUACUAUUAUUGUUUCUGAAAUAUAAGCGAAAAUUUUCUCUGGUUAUUUAUGGCUUGUGAGUAUGAGGGUAACAUGAAUUAUAUAUUGCUUUUAUUUAGGGAAACAAACUUUUUGACACCAAUUUAUUAUUUUAUUCCAAACUUAACUUUUAUUAUUCUUAAUUACUAUUUUCACACAUAUUUGUUUCCUUUCAAGAAAUUUUUUCAUAAUUAUAAUAUACUUUACUUGAUUUUCCUAGAUAUUUUUUUACUUUCCACAGAUUUACUUGAAAAACUUAAUUAGUAUACAAAUUAAGAAGUUUUAAUUUGAUUUAAAUUACUUGUGGCCAAUUUUUUAAGUUGUAUACUAAUUAAGUUUUAUACAACUGAAUUAGUAACAAAUUUGCUUUAGUUUGUUUUACGCAUAUUAAGAAAAUGUCUUCACUUUUUUAUUAUAAAUGUAUUGUUUUCUCUAUUUAGUGGUUUACAAUAGUUUGGACCAAUUGUCUUUUAAUAUGUGAUUUUAUUUUUGAAUUUUUAAGUUAUUAACCAAUAAAAAUUGCAUAGGAACACAUAAGACAUAUAUCUUUUUGAAAACAAGUUUAGAGAGAAAAAAAAAACAUUUAUCUUGCUGAAACAUGAGGAGUAUUGAAUAAAAUCCCAAUAAAAUAUAUUAUAUAUCAAAGUAAUACACCUUGUCUUAUGCUCAAUAAUAGACCUACAAUAUUUAGACAUUAAUUAUUAAAAUGAGUUAGCAUAUAUCAUACAACAUAUUAUACCAUGUCAUCUUACAUUAUAUAAUUCUAAAUAUUUACAAAAUCAAUUUGAGUAAAACACUUUUGCAAACCAUAUGUUCAAAACAAAAUUAUAUAUAUUAUGUAAAUAACUUUUAUAAGAAGUAUUUAUAAUAAAAAAUGUAUCUUAUUUAAAUCUAACCAACUCAAUAAAUGUAAUUCUUAUAAAUGUGUACAAAAUAUAACGAGAGAGUAAGCAUGGGAAUUCGGAUCUUUGAUGGGGUACAGAUCGAUUUUUUUCGGGUUUUAGAGAAAUUUUUGGUUUGUGUUCGGUUCAGUUCAUUUCGGAUCCGGGUGGGUUCUAGUCCAUUAUAUAAAUACUUGUAACGUACCUGCAAAUUUUAGUUAUGUAACGGGCUGGAUUGGUUCGGAUAUUCAAAAUACCUGAAAACACAAAAAUAUUCAAAACACAAAGAAAUAUCAAAAAAAAUCAAAUACUCAAAAAUAUCCAAAAUUUUAUAAGAAAUCUAAUCCGAGUAACCAAAAAAACACCCAAAUUUUAUCUGAAUACCUAAGAUAUAUUUUAAAAUUUUUGAAGUUCUAUCUAAAACCAAAACUAUAACCGAAAACUCAAACCAAAAACUUAAAAAGUAGAUAUAAUGCCAAAAAAACAUAUCUGAAAUACACAUAUAUACCUAAUAUAUAAAAAAAUAUUUGGGUCCUUUAUGUACCGGAUCCUAGACUCGAACAGAGACCCAUGGGUCAAAAAAAUAUAAAAUAGGUAUAUUCCCUAAGCAAACAUGUAUUUUAGGUUUGUUUUUUUUUAAACGUUUACUAGAUUUUGAUCAGAUUUUCGGAAACGUGGAUUUUUUUGAUUAAAUAUUUAAUUCAGCAUAUUUUUAUAGGACAUAUAUUGUAUUUUAACAUGUAUUAAAAAUAUAUCAAAUUUUGAUUAUAAAUACACCAUUUUUAUUAAUUAGUUUAUUUUCACAAUUUUAUACUAAUAAAAAAUCAAAAAACACAAAUAAUAUUUAUAGAAGUUAAUGAAACACCAUUAUUAACUAAUAAACAUAUAUAAAAUGUAAAAAUGUACUUUCCAAAUAGUAUUUUUAAAUAAAUUUGAUUUUCAUAAAUAUUUAUUCAGGCUAGCUCAGUAUUUCUUAGUUUUAUGAUCAAGCCAGGCUUUCAUAAGUAGACUGGCUCACACAUAUAUUAUCAAUUUGCAUAAACAAAGUUGUCAUCUCAACUUAACCUACAGGUUAUCAAAAAUUAAAACUUAUAAAAUGAUAAGAACAGAUGAAGAAAAGCAUAUGACGUUCAAACUCUCCAAAUAAAUAAAACACAAAAGUGCGGCGAAUAGUUCUAAAGAGUAUUCUGACGAAGAGAAAAGAGGUUAAGAAAACUGGAACAAGACAAUCAAAAUGUUUAAGCUUUGGCAGAGGCACGGCCGUAGAACUUGUUCUUUUCCUGGGUAGUCUGGAAUUUGCCAUGUCCCAUCUUUGAGGAAGUGUCGAUAAACUUGAGGUUGAUCUGCUCCAUGGCAAGACGGGAAGUCUGAGUGAGUAGUGACUGUCUAAGAGUCACAACCCUCUUCUUUGGACCCAUGCAGCAUCCCUUGAUCAUCAAGUAGUCAUCCUUCACCACACCAUAGUGUGCGAAUCCUCCCAUCGGAGUCACAUCCUUCUCGG